CAUUUAACAUUUUGCAUUCAAACAGAUACCAGAAUCAGCAGCAGCAUCAUCAGCAUCUGCAUCCACAUUCAUGCAUUCAUAUGGCCAACUUACAUUUACGAAAGUUCGCCCCAAACCGCAGAUAUAGACGAGAACUCCGUGAUAUCGGUUGCAACUAAAAUGUCAAUCAGUUAAAAUAAAUCACAAACUCGCCAACAAUUGUCGGACGCUCGCAUUGCCACUUCGCUCGCUCCUCGUGUUCAGUGUCUCCUCUUCUUCACGCCAACAAAGGCAAAUUGCCAAUUGACGACGAUAAUAUAGCCGGGCUACAAUCGGCAGCUAUCACAAAGUGAAACGAAGAAGUACAAGGAACAGAGAA